AACGAACGCUGGCGGCAGGCUUAACACAUGCAAGUCGAGCGCAUCCUUCGGGGUGAGCGGCAGACGGGUGAGUAACGCGUGGGAACGUACCCUUUCCUACGGAAUAGCUCCGGGAAACUGGAAUUAAUACCGUAUACGCCCUUAGGGGGAAAGAUUUAUCGGGGAAGGAUCGGCCCGCGUUGGAUUAGCUAGUUGGUGGGGUAAAGGCCUACCAAGGCGACGAUCCAUAGCUGGUCUGAGAGGAUGAUCAGCCACAUCGGGACUGAGACACGGCCCAAACUCCUACGGGAGGCGGCAGUGGGGAAUAUUGGACAAUGGGCGCAAGCCUGAUCCAGCCAUGCCGCGUGAGUGAUGAAGGCCUUAGGGUUGUAAAGCUCUUUCAGUAGGGAAGAUAAUGACGGUACCUACAGAAGAAGCCCCGGCUAACUUCGUGCCAGCAGCCGCGGUAA
rnacentral:rRNA from 1 species